UGGGGAAUUUUGGACAAUGGGCGAAAGCCUGAUCCAGCAAUGCCGCGUGAGUGAAGAAGGCCUUCGGGUUGUAAAGCUCUUUUGUCAGGGAAGAAACGGUGAGGGCUAAUAUCCCUUGCUAAUGACGGUACCUGAAGAAUAAGCACCGGCUAACUACGUGCCAGCAGCCGCGGUAAUACGUAGGGAGCAAGCGUUAAUCGGAAUUACUGGGCGUAAAGCGUGCGCAGGCGGUUUUGUAAGUCUGAUGUGAAAUCCCCGGGCUCAACCUGGGAAUUGCAUUGGAGACUGCAAGGCUAGAAUCUGGCAGAGGGGGGUAGAAUUCCACGUGUAGCAGUGAAAUGCGUAGAUAUGUGGAGGAACACCGAUGGCGAAGGCAGCCCCCUGGGUCAAGAUUGACGCUCAUGCACGAAAGCGUGGGGAGCAAACA
rnacentral:rRNA from 1 species